rnacentral:rRNA from 1 species
UGGGGAAUAUUGGACAAUGGGGGCAACCCUGAUCCAGCGAUGCCGCGUGUGUGAAGAAGGCCUGCGGGUUGUAAAGCACUUUCAGUGGGGAGGAGGACUUGUAGGUUAAGAGCUAAUGAGUUGGACGUUACCCACAGAAGAAGCACCGGCUAACUCCGUGCCAGCAGCCGCGGUAAUACGGAGGGUGCGAGCGUUAAUCGGAAUUACUGGGCGUAAAGGGUGCGUAGGCGGUUUAAUAAGUUAAGUGUGAAAGUCCUGGGCUUAACCUAGGGAAGUCAUUUAAGACUGUUAGACUAGAGUAUGGGAGAGGGUAGUGGAAUUUCCGGUGUAGCGGUGAAAUGCGUAGAGAUCGGAAGGAACAUCAGUGGCGAAGGCGGCUACCUGGCCUAAUACUGACGCUGAGGCACGAAAGCAUGGGGAGCAAACAGG